rnacentral:rRNA from 1 species
UAGUGGCGGACGGGUGAGUAACGCGUGAGCAAUCUGCCUUUAGGUGGGGGACAACAGCUGGAAACGGCUGCUAAUACCGCAUAAUGCAACGAAAUCGCAUGGUUUUGUUGCCAAAGGAGCAAUCCGCCUUUAGAUGAGCUCGCGUCCCAUUAGAUAGUUGGCGGGGUAAUGGCCCACCAAGUCGACGAUGGGUAGCCGGACUGAGAGGUUGAACGGCCACAUUGGGACUGAGACACGGCCCAGACUCCUACGGGAGGCAGCAGUGGGGAAUAUUGCACAAUGGGCGAAAGCCUGAUGCAGCGACGCCGCGUGAGGGAUGACGGCCUUCGGGUCGUAAACCUCUUUCAGCAGGGAAGAAGCGCAAGUGACGGUACCUGCAGAAGAAGCGCCGGCUAACUACGUGCCAGCAGCCGCGGUAAUACGUAGGGCGCAAGCGUUGUCCGGAAUUAUUGGGCGUAAAGAGCUCGUAGGCGGUUUGUCGCGUCUGGUGUGAAAACUCGAGGCUCAACCUCGAGCUUGCAUCGGGUACGGGCAGACUAGAGUGCGGUAGGGGAGACUGGAAUUCCUGGUGUAGCGGUGGAAUGCGCAGAUAUCAGGAGGAACACCGAUGGCGAAGGCAGGUCUCUGGGCCGCAACUGACGCUGAGGAGCGAAAGCAUGGGGAGCGAACAGGAUUAGAUACCCUGGUAGUCCAUGCCGUAAACGUUGGGCACUAGGUGUGGGGCUCAUUCCACGAGUUCCGUGCCGCAGCAAACGCAUUAAGUGCCCCGCCUGGGGAGUACGGCCGCAAGGCUAAAACUCAAAGGAAUUGACGGGGGCCCGCACAAGCGGCGGAGCAUGCGGAUUAAUUCGAUGCAACGCGAAGAACCCUUACCAAGGCUUGACAUGCACGGGAAGCCACCAGAGAUGGUGGUCUCUUUGGACACUCGUGCACAGGUGGUGCAUGGUUGUCGUCAGCUCGUGUCGUGAGAUGUUGGGUUAAGUCCCGCAACGAGCGCAACCCUCGUCCCAUGUUGCCAGCGGGUUAUGCCGGGGACUCAUGGGAGACUGCCGGGGUCAACUCGGAGGAAGGUGGGGAUGACGUCAAAUCAUCAUGCCCCUUAUGUCUUGGGCUUCACGCAUGCUACAAUGGCCGGUACAAAGGGCUGCGAUACCGUAAGGUGGAGCGAAUCCCAAAAAGCCGGUCUCAGUUCGGAUUGGGGUCUGCAACUCGACCCCAUGAAGUCGGAGUCGCUAGUAAUCGCAGAUCAG